ensembl:snRNA U2 U2 spliceosomal RNA
AUCGCUUUUCGGCCUUUUGGCUAAGAUCAAGUGUAGUAUCUGUUCUUAUCAGUUAAUAUCUGAUCGUCCCUAUUGAGGACUUAUAUUAAAUGGAUUUUAGACAGGGAGAUGGAAUAGGAGCUUGCUCCAUCCACUCCACGCAUCGACCUGGUAUGCAGUAUCUCCAGGAACUGGCACCUCCC